rnacentral:rRNA from 1 species
UACGAGAGGCCCAAACGUUAUUCGGAUUUACUGGGCUUAAAGAGUCCGUAGGCGGCGCAGAAAGUGGGGUGUGAAAGCCCUCGGCUUAACCGAGGAAUUGCGCUCCAAACUCCUGUGCUUGAGGAAUCUAGAGGUGAGCGGAACUGAUGGUGGAGCGGUGAAAUGCGUUGAUAUCAUCAGGAACACCGGAGGCGAAGGCGGCUCACUGGGGGAUUUUCUGAUGCUGAGGGACGAAAGCCAGGGGAGCGAACGGG